CGCCAUUCUUGUGUUUUACAUGGUAGACACGCCAUUGUUAAAGUCCACAUCUUUUGUUGUUUUCCUGGAAAAAUCAAUUUGCUUUGAAACAAUCCGGAUACAAGAGUGACUCUCAACUAGUCUUUCGGCUGCGUUAUCCGGUCGAAGGGGGUACUGGACCAACAACUCCGGCAACCGAUCCGCAAGAGCAGCUUCUUUGGUACCGCGACAUCCAGCGUAGAGGCGAGGUGCCAUUGAAGCACGGACUCCACAAACAACAGCCCGAUCGACCACAAGACCGAGGAAUUCUAACAAUGUUAGUAAUGGCCGAUGGGGAACCUCCUCACCCCCAUAAGCUGUUCGUUUUUCUAACCCAAAAACUUGGAACAUGCUAUCGUACGACCCAGCGAAAAGAAGGGCAGAAAUGGAUAAUUUUGAUGACUAUAUAUGGCAAUCCAUGGAGAAACCAGACCUACACGGACGAAAAUGAAGAAGCGGCAUAU